AGAGCAAGGCCUAAGCGAUUUUCAUCAAAAUCGCUGUUUUUUGUUUGCGAAGUUCAAUACGUUGUUUUCCGUAUUUGCGUAUUUUGUUGUGAUAACGCCAAUAAGGCUCUUUUCAGCCUUUCAAAGAGCCUGUGCAAAGUGCUAGUAUUGGUCAUAGUGAUGGACACCUCCUUGAUCCUGUGCUGUGUUUACAAUCUAACACAACAGCAGCAGCAGCUCUAUUGGACUGGGGUCUUGUUACAGCAGAUGUGCUUUUGGGAAUCCAUAGUUCCCCCGAGGACCACCACCCUUCCCUGAUAGCAGCCUGCCUUCUCCCACUUCAGCGUUCCCAUUCAUCUCUAAAUAAGCCAUUCACUGCAGAGGAUCCAUUGGUGAGCAAGUGAUGUGAUGCUAAAUUUCUCCAAACCUGUUCUGAUGAAGAAACAAACUCAUCUACAUCUUUGAUAGCCAGAGGGUGAGUAAAUUUUCAGCAAAACUUUCUAGUGUGCUUUUUGAGGCUUUUAUUAACGUUUAAAAUGUCCUCCUUGCCUGAAGAUUAAAUAACAUGGUAAUGUGAACUGCCAUUUAAAACACCAUAUGUUGGUGCAAGAACCAUUUCUGCUAAGAUGUUUUGACCAAUAUGCGAUUUCUUUCUACAGAUUGUAUGUCUGAAAGUCCUGUUGUGUCUGCUUUGCUGUGAUCAGCUUUCAUUGUGCUAACACUGCAGACCUUGGUUUAUUUUAGCACAGCAGAUUGGAAUAUCGUCUCCAUGGCAACUGCUUUGGCUUCACACUGUUAACAAAGAUAGGUUUCAUUUAGAAAUGCAGAUAGAUUCCCACCGAUACAGAAUCCAGCACUACGGGGGUAGCUUUAACCUCAGUAUUUUUUGAAGGAUUAAGGUGAAAUUCUGUGAUUUACACUUAAUAUCUUUAGGCAAACAUCAGCCUAGACAAAUGCCACAACUGUCUGGCACUAUGCAUGAGGAUCAGAAAGGGAGAUGGCUUUGCUAAAUGGCCGUUUACUUUUACAUUUGUGUAAAGUAGACAGCCAUUCUCAGCUCGUUAAUCAUCCCAGAUAAGUGAUGGAGGCUAGAUUGCAGUUGACUGGAAGCUUUUGUUGUCAUUUGGAAUAUUUCAUUUCUCUUUCUUUCUCUCUCUAGUUGUGUCCCAGAUGUAAUACUGUGAACUUAUGUUAUGCACUAUGUACUCAACUGUCUGUGUAUGUGCUUUAUAAGAUUAUUUUGUCAUCCAGCAUCAGAACCUGAUAGCCUUACAAUAUGUAAUAAAGCUGCACCAGUUGAGUGCACGAGUUCAACAUGUCACAUUUUUUACAGGUUUUAAGUUAAUUAAGUGUAUUAUCCAGAUAUUUGAAGUGCACUUAUUAUUUUUGGAAUUUUCUGUGUGAACACAGUAUUUUUAAUAUUUGUUUCACACACAAUAUACCAAAGCCCUUUUUUUAUUACAAAUAACAAAAAGCAUUAUGCAAUAAAACAUAAAUAUUCAACAUGACAUUAAUUAUUUUUAAUAAUAUUUUAUUGUAUGCCUGUAUGUUUACAACAGUGAAAAUGUUGAUCAAAGCAGUCAUUGGUUUCUAAAGGAUGUGCAAUUCAUUACGUUAUAAAGCUGUACUCUCCAACCAUUUUUUUCUUACCAACUAAUUUUUUUUUUCUCAUUGACACAUUCCCUUUUUUUUUCGGAAAAAAAAGUCUCUUGUAAUUAUACNCCAAAAAUCCACUACUUUCUAGGGAUGUACUGUUUUAUUUUAAACCUGUUUAUACUUUGAACAUUUUUCUGUGUGAACACAGUAUUUUUUAAUAUUUGUUUCACACACAAUAUACCAAAGCCCUUUUUUUAUUACAAAUAACAAAAAGCAUUAUGCAAUAAAACAUAAAUAUUCAACAUGACAUUAAUUAUUUUUAAUAAUAUUUUAUUGUAUGCCUGUAUGUUUACAACAGUGAAAAUGUUGAUCAAAGCAGUCAUUGGUUUCUAAAGGAUGUGCAAUUCAUUACGUUAUAAAGCUGUACUCUCCAACCAUUUUUUUUUCCAACUAAUUUUUUUUCUCAUUGACACAUUCCCUUUUUUUCAGAAAAAAAGUCUCUUGUAAUUAUACACCAAAAUCCACUACUUUCUAGAGAUGUACUGUUUUAUUUUAAACCUGUUUAUACUUUGAACUGCUUCAAAUAUGAAUAAGCAUAAAUAACCCUACAUACUGAAAUUCCCUUUCAAACACCCUUAUAUUCACCUAUUAACAGUAUGUCUGAAAAAUGUCUCUUGUAAUUAUACACCAAAAUCCACUACUUUCUAGAGAUGUACUGUUUUAUUUUUAAACCUGUUUAUACUUUGAACUGCUUCAAAUAUGAAUAAGCAUAAAUAACCCUACAUACUGAAAUUCCCUUUCAAACACCCUUAUAUUCACCUAUUAACAGUAUGUCUGAAAAAUAUCUAAUCUGAUAUGCAAAUGAAACUGGUGGCUCAUGGUCUGAUCCAUUUACUCUAUACACAAAAUGCAUUUUUUUAAAUUAAAUAAUCUUAUAUUAGCAUUUGCCCUUCUGUGAAACUGGUUUUGUAUUGAAAUACCUAUAUGAUUUUUCAAACAAGCUCUAAUGUGCUUUUAUAUUUACACUAAUGCAUUUUGCAUAGUUCCUGUAAUAAAUAUAUGCCAAUAAAGACAUUUCAAGCAUUUUAAGGAAUAUGUGAUUGAUUAUAAGUCAUAUGAAAGAAUCAUAAGAACUACAAAGACAGUGGACACUGUGGAAUGUUUGUCCUGCAUCACUUUCUCAUGUCUGUGUGCUGCUGUUGAAACGGUGCCAGUGGUAUUUGGAUGAAGCUGCUGUUUAUUUGACUAGACCUUCCUGAACCCAUUGAACAACAUGUGUAGCCUGUCAAUAUAUCUUUGUGCAGAAUAAACACUGCAUUGUGUUUCCUCAUCCUCUCACUUGUCGGUGAAGUGGCAUUUGUCCUGGAGUAAAACAGCUGCUGAGAGGCUCAUAAUGGAGAAUGAACAUUAUAUGUAAAUGCAUAUACCAAGAUCUGUUAUGUGAUUUGCAAUCUAAAUUUUUCACUAAAAUUGAGCUAUUUUAAAAUAAAUUUUGAAUCAUACUUACUGCUCUGUCAUCAUUAACUCCCCCUCAUGUCUUUCCAAACUUUUUUUCUGGCUGUGGAACAUAAAAGAUGAUCUUUCGAAAAUGUCCCUCUUUUUGUCCAUACAGUUAAAUACAAUCCAUUGUGGUUUGGACAGGUCUGGAACCACUUGAGGGUGAGAAAAAUUUCAGAAUUCUUUCAAGUGCACGCGAGAGUUCGACCUCUCUCAAAUGCGCGAGGUUGCUCACGUCUAUUUUACGCAAUAGAGUCAGUGUAUUUGGAAAAGAAGUAAUUUGUUAAACUCUUUACUAGUGGGAAUAUUAUACAGUUAUGUGUUUCCCAACUCAUUAUGGGAUGUGAGAGCGUGAGGAAGGAAGGCGGGACAGGCGCGUGACAUCACUCAUCUGUAUAAAAGCCCCAGCUGUGUCUGUGCGCUCGCGCUGUGAGGCUGCAGAAAGAGAGAGGUGCGCGCACGCUCGCUCCUUCAAACAAAGAGACCAUCAUCCACAGUGCACCAGCAGAACCCAUUC
rnacentral:lncRNA from 1 species